rnacentral:rRNA from 1 species
GACGAACGCUGGCGGCGUGCUUAACACAUGCAAGUCGAGCGGUAAGGCCCUUUCGGGGGUACACGAGCGGCGAACGGGUGAGUAACACGUGGGUGACCUGCCCUCAGCUCUGGGAUAAGCCCGGGAAACUGGGUCUAAUACCGGAUAUGACUUCAUGACGCAUGUUGUGGAGUGGAAGCCUUGUGCGGCUGAGGAUGGGCCCGCGGCCUAUCAGUCUUGUUGGUGGGGNGAUGGCCUACCAAGGCGACGACGGGUAGCCGGCCUGAGAGGGCGACCGGCCACA